UAUGACGGAAAAACGAAAGGGUGGAAAAAAAAAAGCAGUUUAACACACACAGGAGAAAGUCCAGAAACGUCGUCGGGUUAUUUUGACGGCAUCAUUUGGAAACCUAAAGAAAAGUCUUCCCGAUGUAGCUGGGUAUUGGGUGUUCAUCGUCUUUGCAUGCUGGAGCUCUUGUGAGGUCAGUAUGCUGGAGUCGCCCAAUACCAGUGGACCUUCAACGCGGACACCUAGUAAGGAUGGAUACUCUGGUGGAUCAUCAAAGCCUUCUUCUGCUUCUUCUUCAUCCAUAGCUACAACAAAUCUUCUGAAGAACAGUCAUUCAUUAUUACAG